UAAGACUUCUUUCAGGUCUCUAUUUCUUAGUAAAAUCUGUUGAAUGUGUAUAGUUUCUUUUUAGGCUAUUUCUGUAAUGAUGCGAAGACUCUACAAAAUGAUUUAUAACCCUUUGCAUAUAGGUAAGGAACAGAAUUAUUCACCCAAUAACUGUUUAUUGAGAAGAAAGUGUGCAUAAAGAAUGAAGAUAACUGAUGAUAAUUACUGAAUACACAAAGAUGAAGGAGACAAAUGACUACUUUUGAGGUGCUCAGAUUCUGGCUGGAGAAUGAUGUCAAUGGAUAAGUCUGGCACAUUGAGAUGACUACUAUAAUUUAUGAAUAAAGUGAAUGAGAGGAAGGAGAGAUUGUGCCUUCUGCAAUGGAUUUCAGGAAAGCCUUCUCAAACAUUGCAGCUGACUUGUGAGAGUAGGUACUUUCUGUUUGAAGCAGAGAAUAUUCCAAAGCAAAGAGGAACAUUGACAAACCUGGUUAAAAUGAAGAAGACGUAAAAGUUUAUUACAUGUAUGGGAAGCUAGGAAAAAACCAGUGGGCUAUGAUAUUGGGUUCUUGUGAGGGAAGUGAUGUAAAAUAAGGAUAGAGCGGUGUGGUUGCUACAGUAAUGGCUUCCAAGGAAUCAUCCCUCUUGGAAGACUCAUCUUGUAUAAUAUCUUCUUGGAUUGACUAGGCUUGACCAUAUGAUAUAUGGAGAAGCUUGAUAAAUACUCAUGUGUAGGCCUAGCCUGCUUGGAGCUCUGAAACUGUCAUGGCUGAAGAAGCCCAGAUUAUCCUCCUUGAGGAUGACCGAUCCCAUGGGAAAGGAGUAACAACACGCAGAGAGAUCCCAAGAGAGACAGCUCAGGACAUUCUUCUGAUUUCUAUAAUGGGUAAAUGCUACAGUGGACUUCAGAGGCCAACUGAGGGAGCUCUCCGAGGACACAAAUGUCAUCACGCCGAUGAGGCACCUACACAGCACUAACCUAUAAUCCUGAGUAGCCGGAAAUCUACAUCUUCCCCAGAAGACCGCACCUGCCCCCGUUCCUACUGCAGAGACCGCACAGGAGAUACCAUACACCACGAUCUCCUCGCACUGUGUCAGCAAGACGCAGCAGAUCCUGUAACUGGAGCCGCAGCUGAUGCUUCGGUAACUCAGGAACAUAGAGCAUCCACUCUUUGUAAUUUGGGUAGCGCUCUCUUAGAGGCUAGCGGUAAGUUAGGUGAUAAUGAAAUGAAGUCCUUUUGGCAGCGUGUGGGCUGUGUCAGUCUGUUGUGAAGCUGAGUUUAGUUGCAAGGUGAGUAGGCCUGCCUGGGCAAUCGCCAGUGAGUUAAAUCAAGACAAAAAUCUUCCUUAAAAGAGUUGCUUUUAUUAAGGGGAGCUUGUCACUGACUGUGGUGGAUUUGGACGCUGUAUUUCCAGACAAUGGUGAAGAGCACGGAACACUUAACAUAGCCCGUACUUGUGAAAUAGUUUUUGAUUUUAGCCACUAAUGUAAUGUCACAUGUUUGCUGUUGUGAUUCUGUUUUUAAAAUUUGGUUGAUUAAGGGGCGCCUGGGUGGCUCAGUCAGGUAAGCAUCCAACUUAGGCUCGGGUCACGAUCUCACAGCUUGUGAGUUCGAGCCCUGCAUCGGGCUCUGUGCUGACAGCUCAGAGCCUGGAGCCUGCUUCAGGUUCUGUGUCUUCCUCUCUCACCACCUCUCCCCUGCUCACACUCUGUCUCUCUUUCUCAAAAACAAACAUUAAAAAAAAAAACCUUAGUUGCUCACUUAAAACAUGUAUUUUCUAAGAGUAGCUAUGAGUUUAUUAUUAUAAUGGUUUUAUGAUGGGUUCAUUUUUCUAUUGUUCCUGCUUUUGUGAAUGUUUAUUUUUUAUGAGUAAACUAUUGGAAAUAAGAUGUCUGUUAGCCAGAUUUUUCAAUAGCUGUUGGCUUUAUACUGCUGCAAAUUCAAAUUUGCAAUUUGAAACUUCAACUGUUAUAUAUAAUGAAAUCUCUGGGUAGGGACACAGUUUUCAUUAUAUUUCCACUUGCCUUUUUAUCACUGAUUCAGUCUUUUAAUUCAGUCUUUAGUAUACUUAAGGAAAAAAGGAGAUUACAUUUAAAGAACCUGAAAUUUUAAGAUCAAGAUAAGUAAAAUAUAGUUCUUACUUUCAAGGAGAAUAUAGCCUAUUUUUAAAGACAGAUAUAUGCCACAAAUCAGAUUUUAAAAGGUAUUUUAGUAAAAGUUGUUCUGUGAGGGUUUAUUCUAGUAGGCGUGGAAUUAGCCUGAGUUGUUUUGCUUGUCUCUGUGUCACACUGUCCCCUACUCAGUAAGAGCAUUGCUCAGUAACCAUGAGUGUGAAGAUUUUGGGGUGGUUUAUAUCAUUAUUUAUUGAUAGUAGUGAGAAUGAUAAGUUACAUGUGGACUUGAUGACAUCCCUAAAGGCAUCUGCUGUUUGGGCUGAUUGCACAGAAUGAAUAUAUCUACAUGACCAGCAAAAUACAAAACAAAACAAAAAUCCUAAUGAUAACUUCUGUUUUGGGAUCUCUGGUUCCAGAGUGUUCAGCGUCAUGUUGGUGGUUUCUGAUUCAAGAGAGAAAGUACAUACUGCCAUGGUCCUUACAAAGGGAGUACAGUUGGACUUUGUACUUGGCCUCUCCAGAUCUCCUACUGUGAGACAGCCUUUGGCUGUGAUGCAUAGUCUUUCUUUAAUAAUGUGACUAUACUGUAUCUUUUUAUUGAAAUAAAUUGUAGAUGUGUAAGCA
ensembl:lncRNA